rnacentral:misc_RNA from 1 species
GAUGAAGAACGUAGCGAAAUGCGAUAAGUAAUGUGAAUUGCAGAAUUCAGUGAAUCAUCGAAUCUUUGAACGCACAUUGCGCCCCCUGGUAUUCCGGGGGGCAUGCCUGUCCGAGCGUCAUUGCUGCCCUCAAGCACGGCUUGUGUGUUGGGCCUCCGUCCUCCUCCCGGGGGACGGGCCCGAAAGGCAGCGGCGGCACCGCGUCCGGUCCUCGAGCGUAUGGGGCUUCGUCACCCGCUCUUGUAGGCCCGGCCGGCGCUUGCCGACACAUCAAUCUUUUUUCCAGGUUGACCUCGGAUCAGGUAGGGAUACCCGCUGAACUUAAGCAUAACAAUAAGCGGAGGA